UACGGAGGGUGCGAGCGUUGUCCGGAAUCACUGGGCGUAAAGGGCGCGUAGGCGGCCUGAUAAGUAGGGGGUGAAAUCCUGUGGCUCAACUGCAGGGCUGCCUCCUAGACUGUCGGGCUUGAGCACGGUAGAGGCAGAUGGAAUUCCUGGUGUAGCGGUGAAAUGCGCAGAUAUCAAGAGGAACACCGGUGGCGAAGGCGGCUCUCUGGUCCAAUGUCUGACGUGAGGUACGAAAGCUAGGGGAGCAAACGGG
rnacentral:rRNA from 1 species